rnacentral:rRNA from 1 species
UGGGGAAUUUUGGACAAUGGGCGAAAGCCUGAUCCAGCAAUGCCGCGUGAGUGAAGAAGGCCUUCGGGUUGUAAAGCUCUUUUGUCAGGGAAGAAACGGUGAGAGCUAAUAUCUCUUGCUAAUGACGGUACCUGAAGAAUAAGCACCGGCUAACUACGUGCCAGCAGCCGCGGUAAUACGUAGGGUGCAAGCGUUAAUCGGAAUUACUGGGCGUAAAGCGUGCGCAGGCGGUUUUGUAAGUCUGAUGUGAAAUCCCCGGGCUCAACCUGGGAAUUGCAUUGGAGACUGCAAGGCUAGAAUCUGGCAGAGGGGGGUAGAAUUCCACGUGUAGCAGUGAAAUGCGUAGAUAUGUGGAGGAACACCGAUGGCGAAGGCAGCCCCCUGGGUCAAGAUUGACGCUCAUGCACGAAAGCGUGGGGAGCAAACAGGAUUAGAUACCCAAGUAGUCCCUGAGCGGGCUGGCAAGGCGCAU